GAUGAACGCUGGCGGCGUGCCUAAUACAUGCAAGUCGAGCGAACAGACGAGGAGCUUGCUCCUCUGACGUUAGCGGCGGACGGGUGAGUAACACGUGGAUAACCUACCUAUAAGACUGGGAUAACUUCGGGAAACCGGAGCUAAUACCGGAUAAUAUAUUGAACCGCAUGGUUCAAUAGUGAAAGACGGUUUUGCUGUCACUUAUAGAUGGGUCCGCGCCGCAUUAGCUAGUUGGUAAGGUAACGGCUUACCAAGGCAACGAUGCGUAGCCGACCUGAGAGGGUGAUCGGCCACACUGGAACUGAGACACGGUCCAGACUCCUACGGGAGGCAGCAGCAGGGAAUCUUCCGCAAUGGGCGAAAGCCUGACGGAGCAACGCCGCGUGAGUGAUGAAGGUCUUCGGAUCGUAAAACUCUGUUAUUAGGGAAGAACAAAUGUGUAAGUAACUAUGCACGUCUUGACGGUACCUAAUCAGAAAGCCACGGCUAACUACGUG
rnacentral:rRNA from 1 species